rnacentral:rRNA from 1 species
CGGACGGGUGAGUAACGCGUGGGUAACCUGCCGUAUGCAGGGGGAUAACACUUAGAAAUAGGUGCUAACACCGCAUAAGCGCACGGAGACGCAUGUUUCUGUGUGAAAAACUCCGGUGGCAUACGAUGGACCCGCGUCUGAUUAGCCAGUUGGCAGGGUAACGGCCUACCAAAGCGACGAUCAGUAGCCGGCCUGAGAGGGCGGACGGCCACAUUGGGACUGAGACACGGCCCAAACUCCUACGGAAGGCAGCAG